UUAGUACUCCCUCCGUCCGGAAAUACUUGUCAAAAAAUGAAUUUAUCUAGACAUAGUUUAGUUCUAGAUACAUUCUUUUUUACUCAUUUCGGCGACAAGUAAUUUCAGACGGAGAGAGUACCAU
rfam:Triticum aestivum genome assembly, contig: Triticum_aestivum_CS42_TGACv1_scaffold_251363_3DL